GAGACUCUGGAAGCUGAAGGGCUGCAACUGCAAGCCUGCGCGUUUGGACUGCUGAGCCAGCAGAGAAGUGGGCGAGGAGAAUCGAGACGGACCCCUGGAUGCCAACAUGCAGGUGCAGACCUUUCCGCUGUAAGCCCCAUAACCACAAGCCAGCCCAAAAGGACAGGUGGUACUGCGGACAUAACUGAGUGAAGUACAGCAUCGUGAAACUGCAGGAACGCUGUGACAGGUAGGGACCGGCAGUCGUCCUAUUUGGAUACGGCUCUGCUACCACCGCUCUGCAUAUGAACGAUCCCAUCCGCAAAUCAAACUGAACGCUUAUCACAGCACAAAGCACUUGAUGAAGACUAAUGAUUCCAACGUCGGAGACUGCCCACGUAGCUUACCCUGUGGGAAAGCUCUGCCGAUAAGAGCUUUGAAGGUACUGCGGUGGGGGUGGAGAGCGUCUUCCCCCAGAUAGUCACAGCAGGAGCCCACAGGUCAUUUGUAUUGCUGUCACACGACGCUGAGAUGUCGACAUGGGCGGGAUAUUGUUGUGAGCAGAGUCUGCCGCCGUGACAGCCUAGAAUGGCCAUGAACCUAGAAAGAAAAGAUUUAGGGGCCAGUGAUGAAUUGAAAGAGAUGAAGAGGGACGUAGUAUUUUAUAGAACAUUGAUAAGAUCAUCACUUGAUUUGUUUUUUCCCAGAAUAAUCUCAUACCAUUCAUCAGAAAAGGCGCUAAAGCAGCAAUGUGGAUGUCCAGCCCAGUGGAAAUGGUUUCGCAUGAUCUCUGAACUGGACGAAACAUUGGCAAGGGGUGCUGGCAACUGAUGGCAAAGGGUUGGUCACGUAUCCCACCGCCAGGUGUGUGCUGAGCAUCCUGCACGACCUCGUGGUUGUCACAGCAGCACAGGGUCUGCACUGACUGAGGACCCACAGACCAACGUGAGACCCCUUCUCACACCUGCUGUAAAUGGAUGCCACGUGAAGAGUGCUGAGCGUAAGAUUCCUUGGGUUUCUCACAGGAUGCAAAGAGCCACCUCCAUGCUUACAGCACUGGAAUUGUAAGAUUUUCACCCUUCGGUCAUUUUUUUCCUUGAUUUUAUCUCAAGUUUUCUAUUACGGAGUACUCUUCCUAAGGAUACUUUACAUAAAAGACAAAAUAAAUGUAAUUGCAUCCAGAAAAUGCUCACGUGUGGUCAGAUGCUGUUAAGAUCACACUAAUUCUUGUGGAAAAUUUGUUCACUAUUUGUUUCUGAUGAGCACAGGGAUUGACAGCAUCCCUUAAAGACAUGAAAACAAAUAACUCCCUUUCAAGCACAGUCAGUAUUCCUUGCGCUGUGCUGGCACAGUGCAUCCCCUGGAUGAGUAUGCAGUGCUGGAUGGCUGCCUCUUCACCUGCAGGGCUUAUGGAGCCCUCACCUUGCUCAGAUUACCUGAGGGUAAUUUCUGGACUGGUUUGUGGCUUUGGGAUGAGGAAUUCAGCUCUCAUCACCGCACAUAGCCUGUGGGAAUGAGCAGGCAUAUGGAAUUAGGCUGCUGGGAGCAGAAGGCACCAAGUGAGCUUUCAAAUGCUCCAUCAGCAGUCAAACAGCAUUUUUCACCUCUACAUCCCUUACUUCCCAAAUCGUGGUUUAUAUUCAUGCACAUUAUCCGUGUAUCUGUAGUAACAAAAUGACUACACAUUUUGUUUCCUCACCUACCUUGGGAAUUACCUCCUGAAUGGACUAAGUACUCCGAUAACAAGAAAAAAUACUGCUGUCGAUAUGUAAAGGAAGUGUAUAAAUACUUCUGAGUUAACCAUGGUUGAAAUAUCCUUAAUCCAAAUCAGAUGUGUUUUUUUUGUUUGUUUGUUUGUUUGCAUUGCAAAAGUCAAAAUGAGGAAGGAGUAACUGGGAGCAAAGAAGUCUCUGUAUGUCCUCUGAUGCCAGCUGUGGUGCUGUGAGCUUUAGAUCUGUGUUUUUUCCCCUCAUCUUUAAUUAAGCUUAAUGAUAAUGUGUGAUUUCUCAAGUGUUAUUUUAAUGGUGUAGGUUGCUCCAGGUGAAUAAAAAAUAUUGCACAGCUGUUACAGGGCUCUGCCUUCCCUGGGCAUGGGAGCAGCACUGCACUGUGUUACUCUGUUAUCUGCAACUAACUGUUAGAAAUGCUCUUCCAAGCAACAAGAUGCCUUCUUCCCAACUUAUCGGUGACGCUGCGUGUCAACGGGUUAUUCAAAAGAAGUGCCACUUACAGUUCUGCUGAACUAAAGUGCAGAUGACAGGAAAAAUCAGUGCUUUCCAAACUGAAACAAAAUACCUUCGGUUCCUGCUUGCUGUGCAUCGUGAAUCUGUUUGCACCCCACCAGAAGCCAAGCGAGCAGAAUUUGAUUCAAUACAACUAACAGGAUGUGUUAUUUUCAGGUUCAUGAACAAGAACUGUUGGUUCAUUCUUCUUCCUUUCUCCUUUUCUCUUCAACUGCUGAUUCAUUUUCAGCUAUAAAUCAUCCUGGCUGGAAAUUCUGUGUAAGCCAUUAGAAAUGAAGACACAAAGUGACCAGCUGAAAAGCCAAGGAGCUGCAGUUUGACAUGCUUUCAAUGCUGUAAAUGCUAAUACAACCUGAACAACUUCAGUGCAACAACUACUGCUCUGCUAAUUAAGCAACUUUUUAAUGGGACACUUUGAAGCCACCUUUCAAACCAUUCAUUAAGUCUCUGGAGGCUACAUAUAUAGCUGUAUUCCUUGCUCUGUUGAACGCUCCUAAUUUUGAUUCAUUCUGCUGGCAUUUUAAGCUGAAGGCAAAAAUACAUACAUAUACAUAAAAGGGUUAUUGCAAAGUCUUCGUUGUCUUCUUGGGAAUGUGCCUGCCUGCCCAAACCUUGGGAGCAACUUCCUUUUUUGUUAUUAUUCACAUUCCUUCCCUAUUCCAUCUCUCAGUUCACACUUCCAAUUAAAAGGAUAAUCCAGUCCUGAUCUUCACAUUUUUAUUUCACAUCCUAAGAGGCACUUGAAACAAGCACAUGAUAAUCACAUUACAUAAAUCUUACUUGUAUGCAUUGUACAUGUUUCUGUCAACGUGCUAGUGAUACUCAGUGUGGUUCUAGAACGUUUGCAUACAAAUUAUAUUGCCAGUCACUCCUCACCCUAUUACAUAAACAAUUCACAGAACCAUAGAAUCACAGGAUGGCUGAGGCUGGCAGGGAUACCUGCAUCCCUCUGGCCCAAUUGCUCUCCAGCAGGGCCACCCAGAGCGGGGUGCUCAGACCCACG
ensembl:lncRNA